rnacentral:rRNA from 1 species
UUGAACGCUGGCGGCAUGCUUUACACAUGCAAGUCGAACGGCAGCGGGGGCUUCGGCCUGCCGGCGAGUGGCGAACGGGUGAGUAAUGCAUCGGAACGUACCCAGUCGUGGGGGAUAACUACGCGAAAGCGUGGCUAAUACCGCAUACGCCCUGAGGGGGAAAGCGGGGGACCUUCGGGCCUCGCGCGAUUGGAGCGGCUGAUGUCGGAUUAGCUGGUUGGUGGGGUAAAGGCCUACCAAGGCGACGAUCCGUAGCGGGUCUGAGAGGAUGAUCCGCCACACUGGGACUGAGACACGGCCCAGACUCCUACGGGAGGCAGCAGUGGGGAAUUUUGGACAAUGGGGGCAACCCUGAUCCAGCCAUGCCGCGUGAGUGAAGAAGGCCUUCGGGUUGUAAAGCUCUUUCAGACGGAAAGAAAACGCAUCGGUGAAUACCCGGUGUGGAUGACGGUACCGUAAGAAGAAGCACCGGCUAACUACGU